UGGGAUGACAGAAAUCAUUGCUUCCCUCUUUUCCAGACCAUGUUCCUAAUUUGCCCCCAUAGCAGACAAUCCUGCUGUCAACCUCCAACUUGAGGAAUAGGUUUGCAGAAACAAAGGCUGCUGUUGCUGUUUGCUGCUUCUGGGUUGGCUUUUGGAGGGCAUGAAACUUCUGGCUGUGUCUCAGCAGCAAGCAGCCAGCACAGCUGAGUGGAUAUACAGAUGGGUGGAUGGACAGAUGGAUGGAUGUGGUGAUGCCUGCCUGCAGGUCUCUGUGUGUGGGGCUCCCUAAAGCCAGAGAUGGGUGGGAGCAGAGGCUCAGUGGAAGGGGAAUGCUAAUCAGAGUGUGUGCUGGCAGCAGGCAGAAUGCUGCACAAUAAAUAGCCAUUUUAAUUACCGCACAAUAUUUACAAGAUUGCUUCCUCAUUUGGGAAAUUAAAACAAAUGCUCCAUCAAAAUGAUCAACAUUGUACAGAGAAGCAGAGGGCUGAUAGAGAAAUACAUCGGCUGUUAAUGAAAGAGUAAUUGGCACCUUGGUGCUGGCAUGGCUUCCUCCUCCUCUGUACAACUACAACACAAAUGAUGGUGCAGGGCAGCCCCAGGUGGGUGGCACUGGAGCAGAGCACAGACAACAGGGCACAGACAGCAGUCCCCAUAUUGGGGUCCCAGCCCCAUUGAGGCUCUGCAAAAAGAGGGUGUGGGUUGGGGAUGCUGAGCUACAAAACCCUUUUUCACCCUGGAGGGGUUCUGCUGCCUCUGUCUGUCUGCCUGUCCUGCAGUUACCCCAGGAGUUAAUGGCUCUAGGAUCCAGCUCUGGCUUCUCUGCUGACCCUCUCCUGAUGUUAUUCCCAGGUCCUGGGAUCAUGUCCCAAGGAGGCAGUGAUUCUGUGCCUGCCCUACCGCAAUAAGAGCUGGAAGUGAAUGCGAGGUGACUGCUGCUGGGGUCUGGAACUGGAGCAGUGACAGUAGCUGCUCAGCUCUCCCAUUGCUGAUGAUACUGUGAGUGUUUAUGUAAUGUCCCUGUCCUAGCAUUGGGGCUGCUUG
rnacentral:lncRNA from 1 species